rnacentral:rRNA from 1 species
GAUGAACGCUGGCGGCGUGCCUAAUACAUGCAAGUCGAGCGAACAGAUAAGGAACUUGCUCCUUUGACGUUAGCGGCGGACGGGUGAGUAACACGUGGGUAACCUACCUAUAAGACUGGAAUAACUCCGGGAAACCGGGGCUAAUGCCGGAUAACAUUUAGAACCGCUUGGUUCUAAAGUGAAAGAUGGUUUUGCUAUCACUUAUAGAUGGACCCGCGCCGUAUUAGCUAGUUGGUAAGGUAACGGCUUACCAAGGCAACGAUACGUAGCCGACCUGAGAGGGUGAUCGGCCACACUGGAACUGAGACACGGUCCAGACUCCUACGGGAGGCAGCAGUAGGGAAUCUUCCGCAAAGGGCGAAAGCCUGACGGAGCAACGCCGCGUGAGUGAUGAAGGUCUUCGGAUCGUAAAACUCUGUUAUUAGGGAAGAACAAAUGUGUAAGUAACUGUGCACGUCUUGACGGUACCUAAUCAGAAAGCCACGGCUAACUACGUG